rnacentral:rRNA from 1 species
GAUAUUCUGGUGUCUUAGGCGUGGAGGAACCACACCAAUCCAUCUCGAACUUGGUGGUGAAACUCUACCGCGGUAACGAUACUGCAGGGGGAGCCCUGCGGGAAAAUAGCUCGAUGCCAGGAU